rnacentral:lncRNA from 1 species
AGAGCAGGGUGAGGGAGGGGGGUGGGGUGGGUGGGUGGGGAGGGUAACGGGGGAAACUGGGGAAGAUGGGGCGCUGGAGGAGAGUCGUGGGGGCCGAGGAGCACCUCGGCCGUCUGGAGUCUGGCAGGAGUGGUGAAGGGCAGAGGGGCUAGCUCAGGCAGGGCAGAGGCAGCGGGGCCUGGGAGCCAGCAAGCAUGGUGUGGCUCCCAGGCGUCAUGGAAGCAGGGCAACACCGGUGUGGGGCUGAGGGGCCUGAGCUAGGGUUGGAGAAGAAGGGGGAGCCAGACAUUCAUCCCGGUCACUUUUGGUUACAGGACGUGACGGCUGGUCGGACAAGGGGGAGCUACUGGGCAGGGUUCGACCCCCAGGCCUGGGCAGUGGAGAUGUAGCUGGCAGCAGUGGGCAGGUGAGGACCGCAGUGUGCUGGGCAGGUGAGUCCCCUUCUCUCCCCAGGCUUCGCUGCACUGGCCUUCUGGAAGAAGAAGGUUUAGGGCAGGGGGACUGGUGAGGAGAAGAGCGGCCAGCCUCCCAGCACGGCGGCAGGAAGGACGAGGCAAGACAGUUAGCAAAGGUGACAUCUUCUCGGGGGGAGCCGAGACGGGGCAAGGCUGGGGGGCUGGUGGAAAGAGCAUUUUAGAGGGGCAGGUAGAAAGACGAAAGGCUGCCAGUGAGGACAGAGGCUGCUGCAUCCAGGGAGGUGAUAGGUGACCUUGGAGACAGCGAUAAAGGGAUCCAGCAGGUGUGGGAACAUUCCAGGUCCGGGUCGAACAGGGCUGGGCAGGGUCACAGGACAUAGAGGGGUCCCCAGCUGCCACCACAUCCCACCCACCGCAAUUCAUUCAGGAGCAGGUUCAUGAGUGGCUCCAGCAUGGCCUUGCAUGGCCUGCGCGACAGCACCAGGGGAGUCAAGGGCACGGGGCGAGGCCAGACCAGGCGAAGUGGGCGAGGCGGAGUGAAUGGGCUUUCUAAGGAGGGAGGUCGGGGCACAGGCAGGGCGAGGUUCAGCAGCGAGCCAGUGAGGCACUGGCCUCCAGAGUCCGUGGCCAAGGAGGGCCUUGCGGGCAACGAAGGAGCAGUGAUCGGUGCCUCUGUGCUUGGACUGGAGACGAGGCCAGGUCUCCAGCAGGGGUGGACGUGCCCGCCAGCCACGAAGGCCAGGACGCCAGCUGCAGUGACAGUAUUGGAAAGACAUGACAUGGUCCGGUGUGAUGGUGAGGACAGAGGGGCUGACAUCCGGCCUUCCUGA